AUUAAUGAUGUUUCUAAAGUCGCACAUAUACCGUCACAUCUGCCUGGGUGCCAGUUUUUCUGGUUGGCUGGUGGGGUAUAUGGAGGCCUAACC
rnacentral:sRNA from 1 species